UCCUUCUUGUACAAUCCUUGGAGGAGGGGU
rnacentral:piRNA from 2 species